AUUGAACGCUGGCGGCAUGCCUUACACAUGCAAGUCGAACGGCAGCACGGGAGCAAUCCUGGUGGCGAGUGGCGAACGGGUGAGUAAUAUAUCGGAACGUGCCCAGUAGUGGGGGAUAACCCGGCGAAAGCCGGACUAAUACCGCAUACGACCUACGGGUGAAAGCAGGGGAUCGCAAGACCUUGCGCUAUCGGAGCGGCCGAUAUCAGAUUAGCUUGUUGGUGGGGUAAAAGCCUACCAAGGCGACGAUCUGUAGCUGGUCUGAGAGGACGACCAGCCACACUGGGACUGAGACACGGCCCAGACUCCUACGGGAGGCAGCAGUGGGGAAUUUUGGACAAUGGGCGCAAGCCUGAUCCAGCCAUGCCGCGUGCGGGAAGAAGGCC
rnacentral:rRNA from 1 species